rnacentral:rRNA from 1 species
AGUCAUAUGCUUGUCUCAAAGAUUAAGCCAUGCAUGUCUCAGUACAAGCCAAAUUAAGGUGAAACCGCGAAAGGCUCAUUAAAUCAGUUAUGGUUCCUUAGAUCGUACCCACACUUACUUGGAUAACUGUGGUAAUUCUAGAGCUAAUACAUGCAAAUAGAGCUCCUACCAGAGAUGGAAGGAGCGCUUUUAUUAGAUCAAAACCAAUCGGUGACGUUCGCGUUACCGUACUCCUUGGUGACUCUGAAUAACUUGUUGCUGAUCGCACGGUCUCGAACCGGCGACGCAUCUUUCAAAUGUCUGCCUUAUCAACUGUCGAUGGUAGGUUCUGCGCCUACCAUGGUUGUAACGGGUAACGGGGAAUCAGGGUUCGAUUCCGGAGAGGGAGCCUGAGAAACGGCUACCACAUCCAAGGAA